rnacentral:rRNA from 1 species
UCAAGUGCCUUAAGGGUGUUCGGUGGAUGCCUUGGCGAUGAGAGGCGACGAAGGACGUGCUACGCUGCGAUAAGCCGUGGGGAGCUGCGAAGGAGCUUUGAUCCACGGAUUUCCGAAUGGGGAAACCCACCUUCGAUAGCCGAAACUCUAAGUUCACAACGACGCAAGUCGCUGUGGAUUUGGAUUUUCGGUUAUCAAGUGAAGGUAUGAGACUUCUGAAUACAUAGGAGGUUUCAAGCGAACCCAGGGAACUGAAACAUCUAAGUACCUGGAGGAAAGGACAUCAACCGAGACUCCGCUAGUAGUGGCGAGCGAACGCGGACCAGGCCAGUCAUAAAUGUGAGACAACCAGAACCUGUCAGGAAAGCAGGGCCUCAGAGGGUGAUAGCCCCGUAUGGGUAAUGCAAACAUUUAUGCUCGAGUAAGGCGGGACACGUGAAAUCCUGUCUGAACAUGGGGGGACCACCCUCCAAGCCUAAGUACUCCUCAUCGACCGAUAGUGAACCAGUACCGUGAGGGAAAGGUGAAAAGCACCCCGACGAGGGGAGUGAAAUAGACCUGAAACCGGACACCUACAAACAGACGGAGCCCAAGAUUAGUUCUGGGUGACGUCGUACCUUUUGUAUUAUGGGCCAGCGACUUAAUUUAACGAGCAAGCUUAAACCGAUAGGUGUAGGCGUAGCGAAAGCGAGUCUUAAUAGGGCGCCAAGUUCGUUGUAUUAGACCCGAAACCUAGUGAUCUAGCCAUGAGCAGGUUGAAGGUGAGGUAACACUCACUGGAGGACCGAACGGGUGUCUGUUGAAAAAGACUCCGAUGACUUGUGGUUAGGGGUGAAAGGCCAAUCAAACUGGGAAAUAGCUGGUUCUCCGCGAAAGAUAUUUAGGUAUCGCCUCGGAUGAAUACCUCAGGGGGUAGAGCACUGGAUGGGCUAGGGGGACUUACCGUCUUACCAAACCCAACCAAACUCCGAAUACCUGAGAGUACUAUCCGGGAGUCACACGGCGGGUGCUAACGUCCGUCGUGGAGAGGGAAACAACCCGGACCUACAGCUAAGGCCCCUAAUUCGUGGCUAAGUGGGAAAGGAUGUGGGAAUCCCAAAACAACCAGGAGGUUGGCUUAGAAGCAGCCAUCCUUUAAAGAAAGCGUAACAGCUCACUGGUCUAAAUAAGGGUUCCUGCGCCGAAGAUGUAACGGGGCUCAAGCCACGAGCCGAAGCUUAGGGUGUGCGCGCAAGCGUACGCGGUAGCGGAGCGUUCUGUAAGCCUGCGAAGGGCGACCCGUGAGGGCGCCUGGAGGUAUCAGAAGUGCGAAUGCUGACAUGAGUAGCGAUAAAGGGGGUGAAAGGCCCCCUCGCCGUAAGCCCAAGGUUUCCUACGCAACGUUCAUCGGCGUAGGGUGAGUCGGCCCCUAAGGCGAGGCAGAGAUGCGUAGCUGAUGGGAAGCAGGUUAAUAUUCCUGCACCGUCGUAUGAUGCGAUGGGGGGACGGAUCGCGGAAGGUUGUCCGGGUGUUGGAUGUCCCGGUCCCUGCAUUGGAGAUGGCACUUAGGCAAAUCCGGGUGCGUGAUUCAAGGGUGUGGGGCGAGCGACUUUAGGUCGCGAAGCAAUUGGAAGUGGUUCCAAGAAAAGCCUCUAAGCUUCAGUCAUACGAGACCGUACCGCAAACCGACACAGGUGGGCGAGAUGAGUAUUCUAAGGCGCUUGAGAGAACUCGGGAGAAGGAACUCGGCAAAUUGGUACCGUAACUUCGGGAUAAGGUACGCCCUUGUAGUUUGACUGGCUCGCGCCAGAAGGACGAAGGGGUUGCAAUAAAAUGGUGGCUGCGACUGUUUAAUAAAAACACAGCACUCUGCAAACACGAAAGUGGACGUAUAGGGUGUGACGCCUGCCCGGUGCCGGAAGAUUAAAUGAUGGGGUGCAAGCUCUUGAUUGAAGUCCCGGUAAACGGCGGCCGUAACUAUAACGGUCCUAAGGUAGCGAAAUUCCUUGUCGGGUAAGUUCCGACCUGCACGAAUGGCGUAACGAUGGCCACACUGUCUCCUCCCGAGACUCAGCGAAGUUGAAGUGUUUGUGAUGAUGCAAUCUCCCCGCGGCUAGACGGAAAGACCCCAUGAACCUUUACUGUAGCUUUGCAUUGGACUUUGAACCGAUCUGUGUAGGAUAGGUGGGAGGCUUUGAAACCGGGACGCUAGUUUCGGUGGAGCCGUCCUUGAAAUACCACCCUGGUUUGUUUGAGGUUCUAACCUUGGCCCGUGAAUCCGGGUCGGGGACAGUGCAUGGUAGGCAGUUUGACUGGGGCGGUCUCCUCCCAAAGUGUAACGGAGGAGUUCGAAGGUACGCUUGGUACGGUCGGACAUCGUACCUAAAGUGCAAUGGCAAAAGCGUGCUUAACUGCGAGACCGACAAGUCGAGCAGGUGCGAAAGCAGGACAUAGUGAUCCGGUGGUUCUGUAUGGAAGGGCCAUCGCUCAACGGAUAAAAGGUACUCUGGGGAUAACAGGCUGAUACCGCCCAAGAGUUCAUAUCGACGGCGGUGUUUGGCACCUCGAUGUCGGCUCAUCACAUCCUGGGGCUGGAG